rnacentral:misc_RNA from 1 species
AAAGGUUCCAGCAAAUUUGAUUAGUCCAAAUAUGAGGUUCAAUGGAAAUGGCUUUCUGCAUAAUGUGGGAUAUGAGGUUCAAGAUAACAAAAAUUCAUAUGCUGAUGAACAGCAAUUCCAAGACAGUUCUGAGUUCUGAGUUAAUGUCUUCAGCAGUUGAUGUUCUAGUUGGUAGAGACACGCAAGUGUCUCCCCAAGUGGU